rnacentral:tRNA from 1 species
AAUGAAAUGCCUGAUUAAAAGGAUUAUUUUGAUAGAAUAAAUUAUAUAUAAAUUAUUUUAUAUUUUCAUUA